UUCUGCAUAGUCGGUCAGUAAUAUCCUUAUCGAAAGAUUUUGUAGGACAGUGAUUGCUGUAAAUACCUUCAUGUACCUUUCAAAAAUAUAUUCGGCCUUGGAAGGUCGGAGAUACUUGAGCAGGGAUAGAGACACCGACCUUCUAUAGAGUUGAUUGUCAAUGAUCACGUACCGAGUUGCCAACUUUUUUAAUCAGUGUGCCUCAGCAG
rnacentral:lncRNA from 1 species